GAUGAACGCUGGCGGCGUGCCUAAUACAUGCAAGUCGAGCGAACAGACGAGGAGCUUGCUCCCCUGACGUUAGCGGCGGACGGGUGAGUAACACGUGGAUAACCUACCUAUAAGACUGGGAUAACUUCGGGAAACCGGAGCUAAUACCGGAUAAUAUAUUGAACCGCAUGGUUCAAUAGUGAAAGACGGUUUUGCUGUCACUUAUAGAUGGAUCCGCGCCGCAUUAGCUAGUUGGUAAGGUAACGGCUUACCAAGGCAACGAUGCGUAGCCGACCUGAGAGGGUGAUCGGCCACACUGGAACUGAGACACGGUCCAGACUCCUACGGGAGGCAGCAGUAGGGAAUCUUCCGCAAUGGGCGAAAGCCUGACGGAGCAACGCCGCGUGAGUGAUGAAGGUCUUCGGAUCGUAAAACUCUGUUAUUAGGGAAGAACAAAUGUGUAAGUAACUAUGCACGUCUUGACGGUACCUAAACAGAAAGCCACGGCUAACUACGUG
rnacentral:rRNA from 1 species